rnacentral:misc_RNA from 1 species
GAAAGUUUUCUCUCCAUGUUUCCUCCGAUAAACGCUCUCUGCCUGCAAAUUCUUCAACCACUGCUCUUAUUCUAUAUUUCUGUAUUAACUGUCUUCUUCUUCUUCUCCUUCAAUUUGUUCUCCAUAGGUCUCGUCCUUUUUCUUUCAUUGUUUCUUCUAGUCAUGUCUGCAAUGAGAAGAUGGAAGAAGCUCACACGCAUUCCUCUCCUUUUUUCUCGUCCUGAUCGCUCUCUCCACCGUUUCCUUCAGCUUUCCAC